rnacentral:rRNA from 1 species
UUUUAAAUUUAGAGUUUGAUCCUGGCUCAGGACGAACGCUGGCGGCGUGCUUAACACAUGCAAGUCGAGCGAUGAAGCUUCCUUCGGGAAGUGGAUUAGCGGCGGACGGG